rnacentral:lncRNA from 1 species
AGACAUGCGCAGUGCUGCCCCUUUCUAAGGGCAGGGACGAAGGACUGCGGACCUGACAGUUCUUGGGCUUGAGUCCAGCGGCAAGCUCCCUCCUGAGUGUCUGAAACCGUCAGUUCACUGCCUCAUGUGAAAGUACCCAGUUCUUGGUAACCUGACACUUCCCUUUUAAAAGCCACCUUUUCUCUAUCUCUGGCCUGCCACGAUUCUUCCUGUGCUCCAUAGGAGGACCCAUUGGAUCCCCGGGCUGGCUGCAGGGCCCACACCUGGGUUAGACCUCUCACAGGGACGCUGCUGCCACUGUAAUAAAGCGUGCCUACACGCUUCUGAAACUGGUGAAGGCACAACCUCAGUUCUGUGAAAGGCGGACACAGCAGGACAGAAUCUCCGUGGACAUCUGUCUGGAGGAGGAAUUUUACUGCGACAUUUUAAAGAAACAAAUUUAAUCGAUUUCCAAGUUUUUUAAGACAGAGUCUCGCUCUGUCACCAGGCUGUACAGUGCUGUGGCCUGUCUCGGCUCACUGCAACCUCCACCUCCUGGGUUCAAGCGAUUCUUAUGCCUCAGCCUCCCAAGUAUCUGGGACUACAGGCAUGCGCCACCACGCCCAGCUGAUUUUUGUAUUUUUAGUAGAGAUGGGGUUUCACCAUGUUGACCAG